UACUGUCAUUAGCAUACCCAGUUAUAUCUGAGUUUUGAAAACAAUACUAAAAAUACAUUCUACCAAGGUGGACGAGUUACUUCCCGCUCCACUGGGUAGAAGUAAACAAUCACAACAACUGCUGCCUCAGAUUCAUGCACAUGAAUGAUGAUUUGCUUGUCAUGGAUUUCGUCAUGUAUUUUUAGUAGAUAAAGUCCCCAAAAUUGUGCCAAUUGAGAUGUGUAUGCCAUAUCUACCUACAACCUACUUUGAGGAGUGGACAAACGGAAUGAAAUAGACUAUUUCUGCCUUCCUUACAGCAAUAUUUGCUUCUCCAAAAAGUCUUCCUACAGUGAGAGUACAGACACAUCUCACAAUGGUUAGUCAGGGACUCCACUCACCAAUCUACCACCUAUUAGCCACCUUGUUACUAAGCUGAGUUGAGGGAUACUAUUACAUCAAGAAAAAUAUAAAUUUGCAUGAAACCAAAUUAUCAUAAUGCUGAAUAGGUAAGUUAAGCAACAGAAUGAAACUGACAAAAAAUUCAUCUAACUAUCCUGUCCAAAUAAUGAUCGUGUACUACAUCUGUUACAUGGCGAUAUCAGUGUACACCUUUUUGGAUCCUUCUAAUGAAAGGGAGAAUAAACGAAUUUGAAUGAUGCCAAAAAAAAGAAAAGAAUUUAACAGGCUUACUUGUAACAGCAUUUACAGCACACAUUGAAUUGUCAUGGUACCAUCUGCGCCUUACUCUAACACUGACACUUCCUCUUGUGUAUCCUUUCUCUUCAUCUGAAAAAAGACUCAAUUGUUACACAACAAAGAUACCACUACCAUGCUAUACUUUUAAUCACGAUAUAUAAAUUAGCCAUUUCACUAAGUUCGUUUGGGAACAAGAUCAUUAAAGCUUUAAAGUUAUAAUGCAAUAAGGCCCAUACAAAUUUAAUACAAAUGUUUUGUUUCAGUAGAUGUCAGCAUUUCUGCAGUUCAACUUUCUUCCUUCUUGAGUGAAAACUAGCAAUUGUCAGAGACACAGAUACCAUGAUUGACAUGUUCAACAAACCUUUAUUGUUUUAUCACAAGGGUACAUAAUGUACAAUGAAAUCUAGCUCAUUUAGGUAGUAAAUGAUUUUGAGUAUCCAAUUUUCACAUAUAAAAAAGCUAACUCAUCUUGAUCAAGCACACAUAUCAUACACAAUCAUGCAUUCCUGUUGCAAUGUUGCAAUAAAGUAUCAAUUACUACUUCAAUUUACCAUAAGAUUAGGGUGCAGGUGUAGAAUAGCGUAAAUACAUGAUGCAUUAUG